AAGUGAGCAGUCUCCUCCCCGACAAUGAGAUGAGAUGCCCUGUCGUGGUGGACUUGCCCGAAUCCACAUGGCCGAUGACCACAAUGUUGAUGUGGGUCUUCUCUUUGCCCAUGCUGGGAGCUGCUCAGAGAGAGGACAGCCGCCUGCAUCAGCCUGACCCGUGGCAAACCCUGAGUUUGGUGAAUGAAGCAGAAUGACUGCUGCCGCCUUCAGGGCUUGACUCCUGUACGCAUCGUCACCUUUAUGCCACCGCUAACUCUACCUGAGCGCUGAGGGAACUGAGGCUCAGGAGCUGGGAAGAAAGUAGCAGGACUCAAGCUGUCUGACCGCAGAGUCUCCACCA